rnacentral:misc_RNA from 1 species
AACGCACAUUGCGCCCUUUGGUAUUCCACUGGGCAUGCCUGUUUGAGCGUCAUUUACACCCUCAAGCUUUGCUUGGUGUUGGAUACUGUCUCUGCAAUGCAGAGACUCAUCCUAAAUUGAUUGGCAGCGGCUCCUAGCCCCCUUGCGCAGCACAUUGCGCAUCUAGGCGGCUAGUAGUUUGCAUCCAUUAAGUACUUUUAAUUUGACCUCAAAUCAGGUAGGGAUACCCGCUGAACUUAA